GCAGUAAAUCGCCUUAUCGCUGUUUUGAUUUAUUCAAGAUGGAGGAAAGUCCGAACACCGUAGUGCAACAUAGUGGCUAAUAACCACCAACCGUGAGGUUAGGAAAAGUGCAACAGAAAGUAUGUACAGGUCAAGCUGUAGUGAAACCAGGUAAACUCUAUGUGGUGCAAUGUCAUGUAAACCAACGUUUGAGGGCGGCACGCUCGAUUGUUGGAGGGUAGGCAGCUAAAGUGUAUUGGUAACAAUGCACGUAGAUAAAUGAUAAGGGCUUUUUUAGUGAUAAAAAAGUACAGAAUUCGGCUUAUAGAUUUACUUAAAUA
rnacentral:RNase_P_RNA from 1 species